AAAUUUAAACAUAGUUUUAAAGAAAGAGUUUUUAAUAGUCUUUAUAUCUUAAAUAUUAUAGAUUGAUUAAUAUAGAAGAAAUUUUUUGUUAUUUUAUAAAUAUAAAAAAAGUUAUUAAUUAUAAAUUUGGCGAAACUUGUGCCAGCCGCCGCGGUUAUACAAGUGAGUUAAUUUUUCUCAGUUAAGAAAGAUAAAUUAAGUUUUAGUAGUAGAAAUUUAUGUAGGUGAAAUUAAUAAAUUUUAUUUAUGGAUAUUAAUAUUGAAUCUUUUUAAUUUAUUAAAUAAACUAGGAUUAGAUACCCUAUUAUUGUAAGGUAUAUUUUGUUAGUAUAUAUUAAUUAUGAAAUCAAAAAGUUUUGGCGGUAUUUUAAGCUUUUUAGAGGAAUUUGCUCUGUAAUGGAUAAAACCCCUAAAUCUUACUUAAUUUUGUGAAGUCAGUUUGUAUACCACUAUAAUUAAUAAUAUUGAAUAAUUAAUUAUUAUAAUUUUAUUCAAGAAAGAAAAUUAAGUCAAGGUGCAACAAAAAAUUAUGAGUGAAGUGAAUUACAUUAAUUUUUAUUAUAUAAUUAAUUGAAAUAUUUUAAUUAGGAUUUAAAAGUAAAAAGAGAAUAUAAUGCUUUUUUGAAAAAAGCUCUAAAAUAUGCACAUAUCGCCCGUCGCUCUCUAUUAGGAGAUAAGUCGUAACAAAGUAAAAAUACUGGAAAGUGUUUUU
rnacentral:ncRNA from 1 species